AAUGGAUUGGACAAGGCAAGGAUACAAGAGUCGAAUGCCGCAGUCAAAUUAGUCGCCAAAAUGAUUAAUCAAUCAACGACAAAUAGACUCUGCACUGGUGACUGCAUAAAAAUGAUGCUUCUACAAGGCCUCAAGUAGCAUGUCCUAAGGUGAAUCAAGAAGAUCACCCUGACAACCCGUUUAUUAGGGAAGGAGCAGCUAUAUAAAAGAGAUGGAAUGGAUAUUGCAUCAAGCGGGAGGAUAUUUGUGACACUGAGCCCAAUAUUUUAACAGAAAA